rnacentral:rRNA from 1 species
GAAAGAAAGAUUAAUACUGGAUAGCAUAACGAGAAGGCAUCUUCUUGUUAUUAAAGAAUUUCGAUAAUCGAUGGGGAUGCGUUCCAUUAGUUUGUUGGCGGGGUAACGGCCCACCAAGACAUCGAUGGAUAGGGGUUCUGAGAGGAAGGUCCCCCACAUUGGAACUGAGACACGGUCCAAACUCCUACGGGAGGCAGCAGUGAGGAAUAUUGGUCAAUGGACGAGAGUCUGAACCAGCCAAGUAGCGUGAAGGAUGACUGCCCUAUGGGUUGUAAACUUCUUUUAUAUGGGAAUAAAGUGAGCCACGUGUGGCUUUUUGUAUGUACCAUACGAAUAAGGAUCGGCUAACUCCGUGCCAGCAGCCGCGGUAAUACGGAGGAUCCGAGCGUUAUCCGGAUUUAUUGGGUUUAAAGGGAGCGUAGGCGGAUUAUUAAGUCAGUUGUGAAAGUUUGCGGCUCAACCGUAAAAUUGCAGUUGAUACUGGUAGUCUUGAGUGCAGCAGAGGUAGGCGGAAUUCGUGGUGUAGCGGUGAAAUGCUUAGAUAUCACGAAGAACUCCGAUUGCGAAGGCAGCUUACUGGACUGUAACUGACGCUGAUGCUCGAAAGUGUGGGUAUCAAACAGGAUUAGAUACCCUGGUAGUCCACACAGUAAACGAAGAAGACUCGCUGUUUGCGAUAUACAGCAAGCG